rnacentral:rRNA from 1 species
GGGUGCGAUCAUACGAGCUCUAAU